rnacentral:rRNA from 1 species
GAUGAACGCUGGCGGCGUGCUUAACACAUGCAAGUCGAACGGGAAUUACUUUAUUGAAACUUCGGUCGAUUUAAUUUAAUUCUAGUGGCGGACGGGUGAGUAACGCGUGGGUAACCUGCCUUAUACAGGGGGAUAACAGUCAGAAAUGGCUGCUAAUACCGCAUAAGCGCACAGAGCUGCAUGGCUCAGUGUGAAAAACUCCGGUGGUAUAAGAUGGACCCGCGUUGGAUUAGCUUGUUGGUGAGGUAACGGCCCACCAAGGCGACGAUCCAUAGCCGGCCUGAGAGGGUGAACGGCCACAUUGGGACUGAGACACGGCCCAGACUCCUACGGGAGGCAGCAGUGGGGAAUAUUGCACAAUGGGGGAAACCCUGAUGCAGCGACGCCGCGUGAAGGAAGAAGUAUUUCGGUAUGUAAACUUCUAUCAGCAGGGAAGAUAGUGACGGUACCUGACUAAGAAGCCCCGGCUAACUACGUGCCAGCAGCCGCGGUAAUACGUAGGGGGCAAGCGUUAUCCGGAUUUACUGGGUGUAAAGGGAGCGUAGACGGUGUGGCAAGUCUGAUGUGAAAGGCAUGGGCUCAACCUGUGGACUGCAUUGGAAACUGUCAUACUUGAGUGCCGGAGGGGUAAGCGGAAUUCCUAGUGUAGCGGUGAAAUGCGUAGAUAUUAGGAGGAACACCAGUGGCGAAGGCGGCUUACUGGACGGUAACUGACGUUGAGGCUCGAAAGCGUGGGGAGCAAACAGG